GAUGAACGCUGGCGGCGUGCUUAACACAUGCAAGUCGAACGAUGAAGCCGGAGCUUGCUCUGGUGGAUUAGUGGCGAACGGGUGAGUAACACGUGAGUAACCUGCCCUUGACUCUGGGAUAAGCGCUGGAAACGGCGUCUAAUACCGGAUACGAGCUUCCACCGCAUGGUGAGUUGCUGGAAAGAAUUUCGGUCAAGGAUGGACUCGCGGCCUAUCAGCUUGUUGGUGAGGUAACGGCUCACCAAGGCGACGACGGGUAGCCGGCCUGAGAGGGUGACCGGCCACACUGGGACGGAGUCACGGCCCGGACUCCUCCGGGAGGCAGCAGUGGGAAUAUUGCACAAUGGGCGCAAGCCUGAUGCAGCAACGCCGCGUGAGGGACGAAGGCCUUCGGGUCGUAAACCUCUUUUAGCAGGGAAGAAGCGAAAGUGACGGUACCUGCAGAAAAAGCACCGGCUAACUACGUGCCAGCCGCCGUAACAC
rnacentral:rRNA from 1 species